GUUUAACAAGCAAUAAACCUUUUCGUGGUGUUAGAUAUAAGUAAUUUAGAAAUAAAUGAAACUAAUUAUUG
rnacentral:ribozyme from 1 species